rnacentral:misc_RNA from 1 species
GAAAUGCGAUAAGUAAUGUGAAAUGCAGAAUUCAGUGAAUCAUCGAAUCUUUGAACGCACCUUGCGCUCCUUGGUAUUCCUUGGAGCAUGCCUGUUUGAGUAUCAUGAAAUCUUCAAAGUAAAUCUUUUGUUAACUCAAUUGGUUUCUACUUUGGUAUUGGAGGUCUUUGCAGCUUCACACCUGCUCCUCUUUGUUCAUUAGCUGGAUCUCAGUGUUAUGCUUGGUUCCACUCGGCGUGAUAAGUUAUCUAUCGCUGAGGACACUGUAAAAGGUGGCCAAGGUAAAUGCAGAUGAACCGCUUCUAAUAGUCCAUUGACUUGGACAAUACUUUUAUGAUCUGAUCUCAAAUCAGGUAGGACUACCCGCUGAACUUAAGC